GGGAACCUGACGCUCACGGCACGGUGACCAGCUCGGUCGCCCACGGCAUCGUGCUGAGCGAGUGGCGAGACCGGCUCGGGAGUCC
rnacentral:ncRNA from 1 species